CAGUCGCCGCGGUAAGACAGAGGAUGCAAGCGUUAUCCGGAAUGAUUGGGCGUAAAGCGCGCGCAGGCGGAUAGGUCAGUCUGUCUUAAAAGUUCGGGGCUUAACCCCGUGAUGGGAUGGAAACUGCCAAUCUAGAGUAUCGGAGAGGAAAGUGGAAUUCCUAGUGUAGCGGUGAAAUGCGUAGAUAUUAGGAAGAACACCAGUGGCGAAGGCGACUUUCUGGACGAAAACUGACGCUGAGGCGCGAAAGCCAGGGGAGCGAACGGGAUUAGAUACCCCCGUAGUCCCUGUCUCUUAUACA
rnacentral:rRNA from 1 species